rnacentral:rRNA from 1 species
AUGAACGCUAGCUACAGGCUUAACACAUGCAAGUCGAGGGGCAGCAUGGUCUUAGCUUGCUAAGGCCGAUGGCGACCGGCGCACGGGUGAGUAACACGUAUCCAACCUGCCGUCUACUCUUGGACAGCCUUCUGAAAGGAAGAUUAAUACAAGAUGGCAUCAUGAGUCCGCAUGUUCACAUGAUUAAAGGUAUUCCGGUAGACGAUGGGGAUGCGUUCCAUUAGAUAGUAGGCGGGGUAACGGCCCACCUAGUCUUCGAUGGAUAGGGGUUCUGAGAGGAAGGUCCCCCACAUUGGAACUGAGACACGGUCCAAACUCCUACGGGAGGCAGCAGUGAGGAAUAUUGGUCAAUGGGCGAGAGCCUGAACCAGCCAAGUAGCGUGAAGGAUGACUGCCCUAUGGGUUGUAAACUUCUUUUAUAAAGGAAUAAAGUCGGGUAUGGAUACCCGUUUGCAUGUACUUUAUGAAUAAGGAUGGGCUAACUCCGUGCCAGCAGCCGCGGUAAUACGGAGGAUCCGAGCGUUAUCCGGAUUUAUUGGGUUUAAAGGGAGCGUAGAUGGAUGUUUAAGUCAGUUGUGAAAGUUUGCGGCUCAACCGUAAAAUUGCAGUUGAUACUGGAUAUCUUGAGUGCAGUUGAGGCAGGCGGAAUUCGUGGUGUAGCGGUGAAAUGCUUAGAUAUCACGAAGAACUCCGAUUGCGAAGGCAGCCUGCUAAGCUGCAACUGACAUUGAGGCUCGAAAGUGUGGGUAUCAAACAGGAUUAGAUACCCUGGUAGUCCACACGGUAAACGAUGAAUACUCGCUGUUUGCGAUAUACAGCAAGCGGCCAAGCGAAAGCGUUAAGUAUUCCACCUGGGGAGUACGCCGGCAACGGUGAAACUCAAAGGAAUUGACGGGGGCCCGCACAAGCGGAGGAACAUGUGGUUUAAUUCGAUGAUACGCGAGGAACCUUACCCGGGCUUAAAUUGCAGAUGAAUUACGGUGAAAGCCGUAAGCCGCAAGGCAUCUGUGAAGGUGCUGCAUGGUUGUCGUCAGCUCGUGCCGUGAGGUGUCGGCUUAAGUGCCAUAACGAGCGCAACCCUUGUUGUCAGUUACUAACAGGUUCCGCUGAGGACUCUGACAAGACUGCCAUCGUAAGAUGUGAGGAAGGUGGGGAUGACGUCAAAUCAGCACGGCCCUUACGUCCGGGGCUACACACGUGUUACAAUGGGGGGUACAGAGGGCCGCUACCACGCGAGUGGAUGCCAAUCCCCAAAACCUCUCUCAGUUCGGACUGGAGUCUGCAACCCGACUCCACGAAGCUGGAUUCGCUAGUAAUCGCGCAUCAGCCACGGCGCGGUGAAUACGUUCCCGGGCCUUGUACACACCGCCCGUCAAGCCAUGGGAGCCGGGGGUACCUGAAGUGCGUAACCGCGAGGAGCGCCCUAGGGUAAAACUGGUGACUGGGGCU